rnacentral:rRNA from 1 species
GAUGAACGCUGACAGCAUGCUUAACACAUGCAAGUCAACUGUGGCGGACGGGUGAGUAACGCGUAAAGAACUUGCCUCACGGAUAGGGACAACAUUUGGAAACGAAUGCUAAUACCUGAUACUGUGAGAGAGCUUUGCGUCCCAUUAGCUAGUUGGAGAGGUAACGGCUCACCAAGGCGAGGAUGGGUAGCCGGCCUGGGAGGGUGAUCGGCCACAAGGGGACUGGGACACGGCCGUUACUCCUACGGGGGGCAGCAGUGGGACGUGUUGGACAAUGGCCCAAGUUGUGGUGCGGCGAUUCUGUGUGCACGAUGAGGUUUUCGGAAUGUAAAGUGAUUUCAGUUGGGAAGCGGUACCAACAGAAGAAGUGACGGCUAACUACGUGCCAGCAGCCGCGGUAAUAC